rnacentral:rRNA from 1 species
CCCCUUAUGAUUUGGGCUACACACGUGCUACAAUGGACAAUACAAAGGGCAGCGAAACCGCGAGGUCAAGCAAAUCCCAUAAAGUUGUUCUCAGUUCGGAUUGUAGUCUGCAACUCGACUACAUGAAGCUGGAAUCGCUAGUAAUCGUAGAUCAGCAUGCUACGGUGAAUACGUUCCCGGGUCUUGUACACACCGCCCGUCACACCACGAGAGUUUGUAACACCCGAAGCCGGUGG